GUUCUGUCUGUUAUCGUUCACUGCAUUAAACGCGACUGCCAUUUCACCAUCGUUUUCUCGACCGGAAAACAGACAAACGGUAUUUUAAUUAAUAAACUUUCUCAUUCGGGAAGUGUAAUAAAGUUUUAUGCCAACAUAAGCUCUAUUCCAAAAUUUAUGUCUCACAACUGGAAAUGCUCUAAUACUCUAUGCUUAAUUGGUUACUUCACCAAGCAAACGAUUUGGAUAGACAAAGAGUUCGGCAAAUAUUGGAUCUCUUCAAAAACACUUAAAACUGAGUGAAAGAAUAAAUGAAUUUAAAAAAAAAAAUUAAAAUAAAAAAAAAUAAAAAUUGCCAAGAUAGAGCUUUUUUUGUCGCGUUACCAACGCUCCUAUUGAGAAGUUGUAACAUAGAAGUUUUGUGGGGAAGCUGCUGGUUAAUUGUCUUGGCC